CGGCCGAUACAUUUCUGGUGUACCUCAAAACUGAUGGUACCCGUAAUGUUUCCGCCGAG
rnacentral:pre_miRNA from 1 species